rnacentral:rRNA from 1 species
GUGCCAGCAGCUGCGGUAAUACGGAGGGUGCAAGCGUUAAUCGGAAUUACUGGGCGUAAAGCGCACGCAGGCGGUCUGACAAGUCGGAUGUGAAAUCCCCGGGCUCAACCCGGGAACUGCAUUCGAAACUGUCAGGCUGGAGUCUUGUAGAGGGGGUAGAAUUCCAGGUGUAGCGGUGAAAUGCGUAGAGAUCUGGAGGAAUACCGGUGGCGAAGGCGGCCCCCUGGACAAAGACUGACGCUCAGGUGCGAAAGCGUGGGAGCAAACAGGAUUAGAUACCCUGGUAGUCCACGCUGUAAACGAUGUCGACUUGGAGGUUGUGCCCUUGAGGCGUGGCUUCCGGAGCUAACGCGUUAAGUCGACGCCUGGGAGUACGGCCGCAAGGUUAAACUCAAUGAAUUGACGGGCCCGCACAAGCGGUGAGCAUGUGGUUUAAUCGAUGC